GUUCCCGUGGCCUAAUGGAUAAGGCAUCGGCCUCCGGAGCCGGUCAUGUGAGUUCGAAUCUCACCGGGAACA
rfam:Anaerolineae bacterium 49_20 MPI_scaffold_3721, whole genome shotgun sequence.